GACGAACCGUGCGAACGUUGUUCGGAUUCACUGGGCUUAAAGGGCGCGUAGGCGGACAGGCAAGUCGGGGGUGAAAUCUUUCAGCCUAACUGGAAAACAGCUUCCGAUACUGCCUGCCUGGAGGGAGGUAGGGGCGCGUGGAACUCAGGGUGGAGCGGUGAAAUGCGUAGAUAUCCCGAGGAACGCCGGUGGCGAAAGCGACGCGCUGGACCUUUCCUGACGCUGAGGCGCGAAAGCCAGGGGAG
rnacentral:rRNA from 1 species